CCCACAGCAGCGCGGUGCGUACUUCCGGCUGCCGGGUUGACAUGAAGAAGCAGCGGCUAGGGCGGCGGUAGCGGUGGCAGCCGAGGCUUGCAGCGGGACUCCCGGCGGAGUGCGCGACGCGGCCUAGAGCGGCAGACGGCGCGGUAGGCCGAGGAGGGGGCGCAGCAGCCGCCCUGGCCCGUCAUGGAGAUGGAAAAGGAGUUCGAGCAGAUCGACAAGGCCGGGAGCUGGGCGGCCAUUUACCAGGAUAUCCGCCACGAAGCCAGCGACUUCCCAUGUAGAGUGGCCAAGCUUCCCAAAAACAAAAACCGAAACAGGUACAGAGAUGUCAGUCCCUUUGACCAUAGUCGGAUUAAACUACAUCAAGAAGAUAACGACUAUAUCAAUGCUAGUUUGAUAAAAAUGGAAGAAGCGCAGAGAAGUUACAUUCUUACCCAGGGCCCUUUGCCUAAUACCUGUGGUCACUUUUGGGAGAUGGUGUGGGAGCAGAAAAGCAGGGGCGUGGUCAUGCUCAAUAGAGUGAUGGAGAAGGGAUCGUUAAAAUGUGCACAGUACUGGCCACAAAAAGAAGAAAGAGAAAUGAUCUUUGAAGACACAAAUUUGAAAUUAACAUUGAUCUCUGAAGAUAUUAAGUCAUAUUACACAGUACGACAACUAGAAUUGGAAAACCUGACAUCUAAAGAAACUCGAGAGAUCCUACAUUUCCACUAUACCACGUGGCCUGACUUCGGGGUCCCCGAAUCGCCAGCCUCAUUCCUGAACUUUCUUUUCAAAGUCCGAGAGUCGGGGUCACUCAACCGGGAGCACGGCCCAGUUGUGGUGCACUGCAGCGCCGGCAUCGGCAGGUCGGGGACCUUCUGUCUUGCUGACACCUGUCUCUUGCUGAUGGACAAAAGGAAAGACCCUUCUUCUGUUGAUAUCAAGAAAGUUCUGUUAGAAAUGAGGAAGUUUCGGAUGGGACUGAUCCAGACAGCAGACCAGCUCCGUUUCUCCUACCUAGCUGUGAUCGAAGGUGCCAAAUUCAUCAUGGGAGACUCUUCAGUGCAGGAGCAAUGGAAGGAGCUCUCCCACGAGGACCUGGAGCCCCCACCUGAGCAUGUCCCACCCCCUCCCCGACCACCCAAACGAAUCCUGGAGCCACACAAUGGGAAAUGCAAGGAGUUCUUCCCAAACCACCAGUGGGUAAAGGAUGAGUCCGAGGAGGAUAAAGAAGAUGGCCCCAUCAAGGAAGAAACCAGAACCCCCUUAAGUGUCCCCUGUAACAUGGAAAGCGCGAGUCAAGACACUGAAGUCAGAAGGCGGGUCGUGGGGGCAGGUUCUACCCAGGAGGAGCCGUCGCCACCCGAGGAGGAGCAGGACCAGGCGCUGACUCACUGGAAGCCCUUUCUGGUCAACAUGUGCAUGGCCACGGUCCUCACGGCUGGCGCGUACCUCUGCUACAGGGUAUGUUUUCACUGACGGACGUGCUGGUGAGACCAUGUGUACAGAAAGCACUGGCCAACAGCCUGGCGUUAGCAUUCAGUGCUGUGGAAGGAUCUGAGCCAGUCUCAGAAGAAACAGAUCAAAGGUUUUUAAGUCUGGAACUGUGAAGGGCUAACGAGAGAAUUGAGGAUUGAUGCACUGGGGUUUUAAGGAGCCCUGUGGUCCCAAGAAUACAAGCGUCUAAUCUCAGGGCCUUAACCUAUUCAGGAUUCCAGUUCAACAGCAACACAUAAUCUGACCCACCUCCAUCCCACUGCCCGCUCCGCUCACAGAGCCCGCACCUGACUAGCAGGCAACGUGGUAGGUAAGGGCCGACGCACAGCGUGGCCAGUUUGACGGGGCAGAUGUUUGCCCUGCGCUGAAACUACCCUCCCCAGCUGUUGGUAGUUUGAAACUACCCCUUUCAUUUUACUUCCCCCCCCACCCCUUCUUUAUGUACCAAAUCCACAACCUGUCUUUUUGAGGAGAGCAGAAGAGGGUCCCAUGCUGGUGGCACAGAGGAAGGUGGCCUGUGCAGGGCGGCACACGGCUUUUCCCGGGAGACUGCGGAGACUGCGUGUUGUGAGCCUCUCCACUCCAUAUUUAUUUUUUUAUUUUUUCCCCAGAGGCAUCCAUAGUGCACUAGCAUUUUCUUAAACCAAUAAUGUAUUAAAACGUUUUGAUGUCAGCCUUGCAUGAAAGGCUUUCUCAAAAAGUACAAUAAUAAACCCUCAGGUAGUGCUGAGAACGUAUGACUUUGCCAUGAGCCCGCUGUGUCAGAGGAAGGAGGACAGCUGUGAGCAGUGGGUAUUUCAUGACACUGUGGGUAAUGUGAGAGGAGGUUUGGCAUUUGUUUAUAGAGAGUGGGGUAAUAUAUAACGAACACUUGGAUAUUUAACAUACAUGACAGGAGAUGACUUUGUCCGGUUAUUCCCCGCCCCAGUUUUAUCUACUAGAACUUUAUUCUCCAUCACCGCUUUCCCCGUGGGUAUUAGAAUGCAUGUUCAGUCUUGUGUCCUGAUCAAAUACCACGUGCUUGAAAUACUUAGAUCUCUGCUUAUAAAGUGCCCCGUGUAUAAGUCAGAUUUCCCCUUGCAUGAUCAGAUCAUUACAUGCUGUGGUUCCUAAGACUGUUGCUGAACUAUUCGCUGUUCAGCACUGGAGGGAUGUUUCCAGUAACAGAUACUGGCCUAAUUCCUGGCAUGAGACUCUGGUGACUUCCUGGUGAGGUCCGGCUGGGUCCCACUGUAACUCAAACAUUCCAAGGAGAUGGGAAGCCAUAGUCACACCUCACGCUCUGGACGUUUAGGCAAGCAGGGUCCCCUGCACACACCUUUGGGAUCAGCCUCCACUAUCCCAAGUGCACACUCUUCUUGAGAAGACUGUGAUUUGGAACCAAGGCAACUGUUGGAAACCACACCUGAAGCAACCUGGAUGAUGAUGGUCCCUUGGAGUCAGCCGGCUGCUGUCUCAGUCGGGAGGGCCUUGCUGACAGAGGCCUGUCUGCCCCUGCCCUUGAACCCUGGGGACUGAUGGUGCUCACGACUCUUCUUGUGAGGGGAACUUAAGACCUCCACAUUAAGUGGCUUUUUUAACAAGAAAAAAAGGCAGCUGUAGCUCAUGAGCUGCUCUUUUGCCAGCAUUUUCACAUUUUGCCUUUCACGUGUUAGAAGCCCGUGCAGAGAAAUUCUGUGGUGGGAACAUUUGAGACAUCGCCCCGCAGAGCCCUGUGAGGUGUGGAUGAGGCCGAGGUGCCAGGCUGUAAGCAUUUUGAGUUGGGCUUGUUCGUUUUUGAAGUCCUGUAUAUGUAUGUAGUAGUUUGAGUGUGUAUAUAUAGUAGCAUUUCAAAAUGGAUAUAAUGGUUUAACCUCCUAUCUUUGGAAAACAGAUGGCUCUCCAUCUUGUUACACGUAUGUUAGAGAAGUAGCGAGCUGCUCUGCUAUAUGCCUUAAACCAAUAUUUACUCAGCAGGCCAUUAUUUUUUACAAUGGCCAUGGAAUAAACCAUUUUUACAAAAAUAAAAGCAAACAAAAAAAGCGAGGUGUUUUGGUAUAAUACCUUUUCAGGUGUGUGUAUACGUGGAUGCAUGAUGGGGUGGGGCGGGGGGCGCGUCUCAGGGUCUUCUGUGAUUUCACAGAACUGUCAAACUGUACAGUUUUCCAACUUGCCAUAUAAAAACGAUGGGUUUGCAUUUUAGUUGCAACAAUAAAAUUUUUUUUCCUAAAGAA